ACAUGGAACAAAUAAUUGAAUGUACUGUGAACUACUUUUAAUUUUUUGCAUUCCUGUGUGUGUGUGUGUGUGUGUGUGUGUGUGUGUGUGUGUGUGUGUGUGUGUGUGUGUGUAUGUACACUCUCAGACUUGCAAAGGAUGAGUUUGCUGUUGACCCACAUGUGCUAUGCAGCUCUCCUGCUACUGUGGCAUAAUGACAGUGUGGCUGGCUUCUCACCACACAUCCAGUCUAGGCAGCCAGUUGUCUUCCUCCAUCAGGUCUUCAGCUGCAGUGUUGGGCAUCCUGUCUCCGUCGCUGACCCAUGCGAGCAGACCAACACCACCACCACCACCCCUGUGUGAGCAGACCCCUCUGGGUUGCUGCUUGUUGCCAGAAUCAGAGAAUCCAACUUAGGAGGCACAGAGAGGGCUUGAGGCCAUGUGGCAAGCGUAUGACCAGGAUGCCAGCGGCACGUGGGGCUCAGGCAUCCUAGUUGACCCCUCCUUCCCCCCUGGAGUUCAAGGGUCAGUGUG
rnacentral:lncRNA from 1 species